GUUUUAUUCUUAAAGUAGGUCAGUACCGUCCUUCUCUGAACUAGAACUAUGAAUGAGGCUUUGAUAACUAUUUCAUAGUUUGAGAGAAGUGUGUGUAGAAUCAUCAAAAUCUCAUCUAAACCAGAAGUGGAAUAACAUACGUAAACAACCUCAUUUAACACAAAGUAACCAAGUGCACAGCAUUAUCUUAAACAAAUGAACUCACCUAUGUCUGUUGUAUGUUUUUUUCCUCUGAAGUGACUCCAGCAGAUCUGACCACUCUAGUUCCAAUCACUCAUCAAAGGAUGAAAACACGGUAAAGUGCUUGUUCAUGAAUUCAUUUUCCCCUGCAGAAUUGGGUUUUUGUGAUAUUUUCUUUUCAGUGUUUCGAUGGCUUGCCUAUCACCAUUCUAUUUGAGAGUUUGUCAAGAAAAUGAAUGUGUGGUCCUAUGGCUGGUUAUAAUUUCCUGGCAAAAGAUUUUCAUCGUUUUGAGCUAAUUAUUUAAUUUCAGUAUCUUACCUUUCUUUGUGCUGGUCUUUCUGUUAUGUUUAAUGCAGCAUUUACUAAUUUGGUCAUAUUUUUCAGAAAUUGUGAAUCAAUGGAUCUAUAUCUGGAUUUUUCUCUGAUUAUUUUGACUUAUCGUGUGUGGUUUUCUAAUACAUUUGCCUGUAGAACAGCUUAGCUUUCAGGCAGAUGUGCUGACACAUCUCUUUCAUAUUAGCUCACAGGCAGAGGAGACUAACAGAUCUCUGAAUUUGGGGCAAGCCUGGUCUAGAGAGCCAGUUUGAGGACAGUCAGGGAUGCACAAAGAAAUCUUGUCUCAAACCAACCAACCAACCAACAACCAACCAACCAACCAACAAACUGACAGACAAACAUACAAAUAGCCCUCCAUUCACCAAACAAUGGAGCCCUUAAUUUUACAUUACCUUGGGUAUUUGAAUUCAAAAGAAUAUAUUUUCCACAUGUACAUUUACAUAUUACAAAACUAACAUCUAGCCUUGAUGUUAUUUAUUCUUGAGCAGCUUUUACUAAUCACUUCUUAGGUGAUACAAUUUACUAAAGAACACAGUACUAAUUUAUUCUUGGAGACAUCCUUUUAAUAUGUAAUAUAUACCAAAACAAAUAUUUUUAAACUAUAGACAGUGAAAUGUUUCCUGAGAUAUAAAACUAUAAAUGAUUACUGUAUGUAGUUUACCAUUUCUUCCCAUUUUGUCCAUUAUUGCAAUUUCAGUAACACAUAAAAUAUAAUUUUUAUGUUAUAAUAUACUUUGAUAUUAGAAUUGCCAGCUAUCCUCAUUUUAGACUUUAUGGCUUUGAGGGUCCUCUUGUAGCAGCUGUGGACUACAGUUUCCACAGAGUCACAGUAAAUACAUGCCGGGGAAAGAAAUGUCCUUAUUUCCUUAUAAAACUUAAACACAGAACAGGACUGCAGGACUCUAAAGCUCUUAUUGGACUAUGACUAACAUAUUUGUCUCCCAUUUAGUCCCAGGAGUCUAGUGCCAAGUUACAAACAGAUACUUCAAGUACAGAAGAGGAGGUGGAAGAUCGGUUACAGAGGUACAGUGGAAAGCAAUAUGGCAAGGAAAUUGAGAGCCCAUAAAGGAGAUAAGCAUUACAAGAUGAAGUCAUAGCAUUUCUGAUAAGAGUCCUUUCUGGUGCCAUUGAGAAGUUCCUGCCUGAAGUUGUUUGAAUUAUGGACCUGCAUGCUGGGUUGGGG
ensembl:lncRNA